rnacentral:misc_RNA from 1 species
UAUCUUGGUGAGAAAGCGAACCUUCGGGGCAGCCAUCGGAUACUCUUCAGGUAAGAAAAGUUCAAGCUUGAAAACUCCUCCUUCAUAUGGGGACUGCGUCGGCCCGAGAAUCAUCACGUUGAAGUACCUCAUGUUCUCCUCCGACGGGGAAGCGCUGAUCCCAGGCGCUGGCUCGCUGAGGAGGCGCUGCGUCUCCUUGAUGAUCCGACGAGGGAGAUUACUGUUCGCCAUCGAUCCGGCGGCUAGGGUUUCGGAGAGGGCGAGGUGGGGGAGGGGAAGCGACUGCGGGAAG